rnacentral:rRNA from 1 species
UACGUAGGGCGCAAGCGUUAUCCGGAAUUAUUGGGCGUAAAGCGCACGUAGGCGGCUUUGUAAGUUAGAGGUGAAAGCCCGGGGCUCAACUCCGGAAUUGCCUUUAAGACUGCAUCGCUAGAAUUGUGGAGAGGUAAGUGGAAUUCCGAGUGUAGAGGUGAAAUUCGUAGAUAUUCGGAAGAACACCAGUGGCGAAGGCGACUUACUGGACACAUAUUGACGCUGAGGUGCGAAAGCGUGGGGAGCAAACAGG